UAUCCAUGAUGUGGACACUUCAAGAGCAGCCCAUUGAAUCGCUCCCAUGCUUCGAAAAACUGCUCGUCUUCUCUCUGGAUAAACUCUGAAAUUUUUCUACAAAUAAGUUA
rfam:Citrus sinensis cultivar Ridge Pineapple sweet orange scaffold00257_contig_13, whole genome shotgun sequence.